GCCCCGCAUAGGAAAGCCCACGGCGCCCCCAGCGCCAACGGCGCGCGGUUCGAAUCCGCGGCGGGGCAC
rnacentral:tRNA from 1 species